rnacentral:rRNA from 1 species
AUUGAACGCUGGCGGCAGGCUUAACACAUGCAAGUCGAGCGGAGCGAGGGUGCUUGCACCUUAGCUUAGCGGCGGACGGGUGAGUAAUGCUUAGGAAUCUGCCUAUUAGUGGGGGACAACAUUCCGAAAGGAAUGCUAAUACCGCAUACGCCCUACGGGGGAAAGCAGGGGAUCUUCGGACCUUGCGCUAAUAGAUGAGCCUAAGUCGGAUUAGCUAGUUGGUGGGGUAAAGGCCUACAAAGGCGACGAUCUGUAGCGGGUCUGAGAGGAUGAUCCGACACACUGGGACUGAGACACGGCCCAGACUCCUACGGGAGGCAGCAGUGGGGAAUAUUGGACAAUGGGCGGAAGCCUGAUCCAGCCAUGCCGCGUGUGUGAAGAAGGCCUUUUGGUUGUAAAGCACUUUAAGCGAGGAGGAGGCUACUUAGAUUAAUACUCUGGGAUAGUGGACGUUACUCGCAGAAUAAGCACCGGCUAACUCUGUGCCAGCAGCCGCGGUAACAC